UACGUAGGGUGCGAACGUUAAUCGGAAUUACUGGGCGUAAAGCGUGCGCAGGCGGUUCGCUAAGACAGAUGUGAAAUCCCCGGGCUUAACCUGGGAACUGCAUUUGUGACUGGCGGGCUAGAGUAUGGCAGAGGGGGGUAGAAUUCCACGUGUAGCAGUGAAAUGCGUAGAGAUGUGGAGGAAUACCGAUGGCGAAGGCAGCCCCCUGGGCCAAUACUGACGCUCAUGCACGAAAGCGUGGGGAGCAAACAGG
rnacentral:rRNA from 1 species